rnacentral:rRNA from 1 species
CCUACGGGCGACAGCAGUAGGGAAUCUUUCACAAUGGGCGAAAGCCUGAUGGAGCAACGCCGCGUGCAGGAUGAAGGCCUUCGGGUUGUAAACUGCUUUUAUAAGCGAGAAAUAUGAUGGUAACUUAUGAAUAAGGAUCGGCUAACUACGUGCCAGCAGCCGCGGUCAUACGUAGGAUCCGAGCAUUAUCCGGAGUGACUGGGUGUAAAGAGUUGCGUAGGUGGCAUAAUAAGUAGCUAGUGAAAUCUGGUGGCUCAACCAUUCAGACUAUUAGCUAAACUGUUAAGCUCGAGACCGUUAGGGGUAACUGGAAUUUCUAGUGUAGGAGUGAAAUGCGUAGAUAUUAGAAGGAACACCAAUAGCGUAGGCAGGUUACUGGGACGGUUCUGACACUAAGGCACGAAAGCGUAGGGAGCAAACGGGAUUAGAUACCCCUGUAGUC